GUACUCCGUUUUCCCAUAAUUCCUAGAACUGAGCAGGCUGUUGCUCGUGAAGGUGAAAGUGGAGGGGAGCCGGACUAUCAGGCGAGAAAUGCAAUAAACGUAGCAGUUGCUAAGAGGCAACAGGAAGACAUCAGAAGAUGGCUGAUAGUUCACCAGAUCUGAGGAUCGGAGUAGUGGGAUUUGGAUUUCUAGGGCAGUUUCUAGUGGACAGGAUCUUAAAAGAUGGACCUGGUCUGGGUCUAAAUCUGGCCUUUGUGUGGAACAGGAAUCCUGACAAGCUCAAAGGUUUAGUUCCGGCUGAACUCAUUCUCCAUGAUUUGUCAUCCUUUGCCGACAGGUUCAUAUAUGAUCUAAAAUUUCUGGAUUGAAAAACAAAAAUAUGUUAGCGGUG